rnacentral:rRNA from 1 species
UAACCUGCCCAAGAGAUCGGGAUAACACCUGGAAACAGAUGCUAAUACCGGAUAAUAACAGAUGAUGCCUAUCAACUGUUUAAAAGAUGGUUCUGCUAUCACUCUUGGAUGGACCUGCGGUGCAUUAGCUAGUUGGUAGGGUAACGGCCUACCAAGGCGAUGAUGCAUAGCCGAGUUGAGAGACUGAUCGGCCACAUUGGGACUGAGACACGGCCCAAACUCCUACGGGAGGCAGCAGCG